rnacentral:lncRNA from 1 species
CCGCCAGCAGCGGCGCGCCCGCGCUCGCCGCCGCACCCGCCGCACUGCUCGUCUCCCUCCUCGCCUGCUACCUCCACUGAGCGUGCGGGUCGUUCGUCCGUCGAUCGAUCGGUCGUCGUUGGCGGACGCGUCGUCGAGGUGACUUGCAUUUGGGAGGAAGAGAUCGAUCAAUGAGCAGCACCGAACAAUUAACGUGUGCAUGCGUCGCAUGCAUGCAAUUGCAACAAUGCUGCUCUUGUUUAAUCUGAUAUAUGAAUUUUUAUGCACGUAUAUCAUCAUCAUGUAUCCUAUUUUCCGGUUAAAUAGACUAUAAAUAUAUCUAUGUAUGUAAUUCGUAUCCAGUUUGUUGUUGUUUAACCAAUUGAAUAUAUGAAUUUGUUGUUUCGUAAAUACCCAUAUGUUGCCUUGGAAUUGUGCAUUUCUUAUUUAUCAAGUGUUCU